rnacentral:rRNA from 1 species
CCUACGGGAGGCUGCAGUGGGGAAUAUUGGACAAUGGGCGAAAGCCUGAUCCAGCCAUGCCGCGUGUGUGAAGAAGGCCUUCGGGUUGUAAAGCACUUUCAGUGGGGAAGAAAGCCUUGGGGCUAAUACCCUCGAGGAAGGACAUCACCCACAGAAGAAGCACCGGCUAACUCCGUGCCAGCAGCCGCGGUAAUACGGAGGGUGCGAGCGUUAAUCGGAAUUACUGGGCGUAAAGCGCGCGUAGGCGGUCUGAUAAGCCGGUUGUGAAAGCCCCGGGCUCAACCUGGGAACGGCAUCCGGAACUGUCAGGCUAGAGUGCAGGAGAGGAAGGUAGAAUUCCCGGUGUAGCGGUGAAAUGCGUAGAGAUCGGGAGGAAUACCAGUUGCGAAGGCAGCCUUCUGGACUGACACUGACGCUGAGGUGCGAAAGCGUGGGUAGCAAACAGGAUUAGAUACCCCAGUAGUC